UUGGAGGGCAAGUCUGGUGCCAGCAGCCGCGGUAAUUCCAGCUCCAAUAGCGUAUAUUAAAGUUGUUGCAGUUAAAAAGCUCGUAGUCGAAUUUCGGGGUUCUACCGUUGGUCGGGCAAUUGUCUGUACUGGCGUGUAAAAUUUCUACCUUCUGGGGAACCAUCAUGUUAUUAAUUUAGCGUGGUGGGAAACCAGGACCUUUACCUUGAAAAAAUUAGAGUGUUUAAAGCAGGCUUACGUCUGAAUACAUUAGCUUGGAAUAAUUAAAUAGGACGGUGGUCCUGUUUUGUUGGUUUCUGAAGCACCGUAAUGAUUAAUAGGGAUAGUUGGGGGCAUUAGUAUUCAAUUGUCAGAGGUGAAAUUCUUGGAUUUAUUGCAGACUAACUUCUGCGAAAGCAUUUGCCAAGGAUGUUUUCAUUAAUCAAGAACGAAAGUUAGGGGAUCGAAGACGAUCAGAUACCGUCGUAGUCUUGACCAUAAACUAUGCCGACUAGGGAUCGGACGAUGUUAAUUUUUCUUGACUCGUUCGGCGCCUUACGGGAAAC
rnacentral:rRNA from 1 species